rnacentral:pre_miRNA from 1 species
AGGCCCCUCCUCCCAGCCGGGCUCCCGCUCACCCCUGCCACGUCAAAGGAGGCAGAAGGGGAGUCGCAGCACAGAGGGACCG